AGUGAACGCUGGCGGUAGGCCUAACACAUGCAAGUCGAACGGCAGCACAGUAAGAGCUUGCUCUUACGGGUGGCGAGUGGCGGACGGGUGAGGAAUACAUCGGAAUCUACUUUUUCGUGGGGGAUAACGUAGGGAAACUUACGCUAAUACCGCAUACGACCUACGGGUGAAAGCAGGGGAUCUUCGGACCUUGCGCGAUUGAAUGAGCCGAUGUCGGAUUAGCUAGUUGGCGGGGUAAAGGCCCACCAAGGCGACGAUCCGUAGCUGGUCUGAGAGGAUGAUCAGCCACACUGGAACUGAGACACGGUCCAGACUCCUACGGGAGGCAGCAGUGGGGAAUAUUGGACAAUGGGCGCAAGCCUGAUCCAGCCAUACCGCGUGGGUGAAGAAGGCCUUCGGGUUGUAAAGCCCUUUUGUUGGGAAAGAAAAGCAGCAGGUUAAUACCCCGCUGUUCUGACGGUACCCAAAGAAUAGGCACCGGCUAACUUCGCG
rnacentral:rRNA from 1 species